rnacentral:rRNA from 1 species
CAGUAGCCGCGGUAAUACGAAGGGUGCAAGCGUUACUCGGAAUUACUGGGCGUAAAGCGUGCGUAGGUGGUGGUUUAAGUCCGUUGUGAAAGCCCUGGGCUCAACCUUGGAAUUGCAGUGGAUACUGGGUCACUAGAGUGUGGUAGAGGAUAGUGGAAUUUCCGGUGUAGCAGUGAAAUGCGUAGAGAUCGGAAGGAACAUCUGUGGCGAAGGCGACUAUCUGGGCCAACACUGACACUGAGGCACGAAAGCGUGGGGAGCAAACAGGAUUAGAUACCCCAGUAGUCCCUGUCUCUUAUAC